rnacentral:rRNA from 1 species
CACUCCUGCGGGAGGCAGCAGUGGGGAAUUUUGGACAAUGGGCGAAAGCCUGAUCCAGCAAUGCCGCGUGAGUGAAGAAGGCCUUCGGGUUGUAAAGCUCUUUUGUCAGGGAAGAAACGGUGAAAGCUAAUAUCUUUUGCUAAUGACGGUACCUGAAGAAUAAGCACCGGCUAACUACGUGCCAGCAGCCGCGGUAAUACGUAGGGUGCAAGCGUUAAUCGGAAUUACUGGGCGUAAAGCGUGCGCAGGCGGUUUUGUAAGUCUGAUGUGAAAUCCCCGGGCUCAACCUGGGAAUUGCAUUGGAGACUGCAAGGCUAGAAUCUGGCAGAGGGGGGUAGAAUUCCACGUGUAGCAGUGAAAUGCGUAGAUAUGUGGAGGAACACCGAUGGCGAAGGCAGCCCCCUGGGUCAAGAUUGACGCUCAUGCACGAAAGCGUGGGGAGCAAACAGGAUUAGAUACCCGGGUAGUCCCAUG